rnacentral:rRNA from 1 species
CGAGUCGCAAGCUCGCGAGAGUAAGCUAAUCUCUUAAAAGCCGUUCUCAGUUCGGACUGUAGGCUGCAACUCGCCUACACGAAGUCGGAAUCGCUAGUAAUCGCGGAUCAGCAUGCCGCGGUGAAUACGUUCCCGGGCCUUGUACACACCGCCCGUCACACCAUGGGAGUUUGUAACGCCCAAAGUCGGUGGCCUAACCUUUAUGGAGGGAGCCGCCUAAGGCGGGACAGAUGACUGGGGUGAAGUCGUAACAAGGUAGC